rnacentral:rRNA from 1 species
GCGCACGGGUGCGUAACGCGUGGGAACCUGCCUUUAGGUUCGGAAUAACAGUUAGAAAUGACUGCUAAUACCGGAUAAUGUCUUCGGACCAAAGAUUUAUCGCCUUUAGAUGGGCCCGCGUUAGAUUAGAUAGUUGGUGGGGUAAUGGCCUACCAAGUCGACGAUCUAUAGCUGGUCUGAGAGGAUGAUCAGCCACACUGGGACUGAGACACGGCCCAGACUCCUACGGGAGGCAGCAGUGGGGAAUAUUGGACAAUGGGCGAAAGCCUGAUCCAGCAAUGCCGCGUGAGUGAUGAAGGCCUUAGGGUUGUAAAGCUCUUUUACCAGGGAUGAUAAUGACAGUACCUGGAGAAUAAGCUCCGGCUAACUCCGUGCCAGCAGCCGCGGUAAUACGGAGGGAGCUAGCGUUGUUCGGAAUUACUGGGCGUAAAGCGCACGUAGGCGGCUUUUCAAGUCAGGGGUGAAAUCCCGGGGCUCAACCCCGGAACUGCCCUUGAAACUGGAUGGCUAGAAUACUGGAGAGGUGAGUGGAAUUCCGAGUGUAGAGGUGAAAUUCGUAGAUAUUCGGAAGAACACCAGUGGCGAAGGCGACUCACUGGACAGUUAUUGACGCUGAGGUGCG